AAGGGGGGAAAAAAAACAGAAAACGAGGACGAUUACGGGAUGCUUAGAGGGGGGGGGGGUAGAAUGCGUGGAGUGGCGGAGUUUUAUUUCUCGCGAUUCACUGCCGCAGACUUCCUUCAUGGCAGCGUGAAUUACUCAAGAAAUAUUAGAAAUAAACGAUUAGCGCGGACACGCAAUGUUCAAGUGCCAAAUUUUUAGCUAUCUUAUAUAAACACGUAAUUUAUCGCGCCUGUCGAACCCAGCAGACGCUUAAUUAGCGAGCGAGCGAGCGAGAGAGAGAGAGAGAGAGAGAGAGAGAGAGAGAGAGAGAGAGAGAGAGAGAGAGAGAGAGAAAAGAAAACGAUACNCCCUUUUUUCCGUAGACCCUGGUGGGACGAUGCAAUUGAACUGACUCACCCUCGAUCUCACUUGACUUUUAAAUUAUGCCUCGACAACAGCCUGGCCUGAUAAUAGUAAAUUCAUAUUGAAGAACGUUAAGUAAGAUAAUAAUAAUGAAUAAUAAUAAUAAUAAUAAUAAUAAUAUUAAUAAAUAAUAAUACUAAUAAUUAUAAUGAUAUUAAUAAUAAUACUAAUAAAUAAGAUUAAGGAAUAAUAACGAUAAAUAAUAGUACUAAUAUAUUACUAUUACUACUACUACUACUACUACUACUAAUAAUAAUAAUAAUAAUAAUAAUAUUAAUAAUAAUGAUAAAAAUUUGUUAUAUUUCUACGCUGGGCUCUUUUUCGAGGCAGAAACGUUGAUCGAUAUGAAAAUCCCUGUUAACUGGUGAGCACGUAAUCGCCGCAUUGUAAUAUUAUUAACAUUAUUACGUUAUUAUGAAAUUGUUGAAAUAAAUGAAAUGAAUAUAAA